rnacentral:lncRNA from 1 species
UCUAAUUCUACUCACAAAUUAUCUCUCUUUUCUUUACCAACGGUCUGCUACGUCUUUCCCCACUCACUCUCCACUACUAAUCACCUCACUCCACUCACUCUCUGAUAGCCCUCCACGCGUCCCUCUAUCCCUCUCCCAUCUCUCAGCAUAUCAUACUCACAUUUCUCCUCUCAUUCCAUUCACACUACCUCUCUCAAAUCUACUCAGCAGAAAACGAAAAAAUUCUCUCUCACACUUCAUCUCCAUCUCACACAAACCCUUACGGAAACCUCUCUCAACUUCCCACAGAAAACCCUUCCUCUCCAAUCAUCUCCUCCGCCGCCACCUACUCACCAUUCACUCCACCUUCACCUUCCUCACUCACGAUCCAUUCACCGAACCUCCUCCGCAACCCUUCAUCGCUAACACCACCGCCGUCCGUCUCCACUACCGUCGAAAACACGCUCACCGCACCAACCAAAACCCUUCGCCACUCGACGCACACUCCCAUUCAUCACAAACCUACGCCGUCUCAACCAACAUCCGCCACCAAAAAAAUCCACGACCUCCACCGCCAAUACCCUCCGUCAAAACCUCCUUCGCAGGAGAUUGCUGUAUCUUCGCGAGCACACUAAUAAAAAACCUCCCAUUUCCCCUCCUGAGGUCUUCAUCCAUAUCUACCAUCAAUUCUAAUCACUCGAAGCAAGCAAGUAACCGUCAAUUAACAGUCAAAUAGCAAAAUCAGACUAA